rnacentral:rRNA from 1 species
CGCUGGCGGCGUGCCUAAUACAUGCAAGUCGAACGGUCUUUCUAUGGAAGCUUGCUUCCACUGAGAAGAUAGUGGCGAACGGGUGAGUAACACGUGGGUAACCUGCCCAUAAGAGGGGGAUAACAUCCGGAAACGGGUGCUAAUACCGCAUAGUUUUCUUGAUCGCAUGAUUGAGAAAGGAAAGACGGCCUUUGUGCUGUCGCUUAUGGAUGGACCCGCGGCGUAUUAGUUAGUUGGUGAGGUAACGGCUCACCAAGACGAUGAUACGUAGCCGACCUGAGAGGGUGAUCGGCCACAUUGGGACUGAGACACGGCCCAAACUCCUACGGGAGGCAGCAGUAGGGAAUCUUCCGCAAUGGACGAAAGUCUGACGGAGCAACGCCGCGUGAGUGAAGAAGGUUUUUCGGAUCGUAAAACUCUGUUGUCAGAGAAGAACAAGUUGGAGAGUAACUGCUCCAGCCUUGACGGUAUCUGACCAGAAAGCCACGGCUAACUACGUGCCAGCCGCAGC